AAUUCUGAUUUCAUAAAAAAACUUUUUAAUUAUUUUAUACACCAUUCUAUAAACUUCUUACUUUACCCAAAGUACUUUUUUUUUUUCAAAACCUAAAAAAAAAUUAAAUCUCUCUCUACAUCCCCAUCAGCCAUGAUAGCCAAGUCCUCCCCCUUUCGUAUCCCCAUCAAUGGAUCCUCCCCAUUUUUUUUUCAAAAAAUAAUAAUAAUAAUAAAACCCUCCUCCCUUCUCUCUAGCUUUGCCGCCUACACCCCUUGAGGAUGUCCGCCCAACCAACUCGCACCAGCCCAACCACUGUGUCGCCCCUCCUCUACCUCCCUUUCAUUCUGGAUUAAUGGGCCGAUGUCCCAAGGUCAAGGAAGACCUUUCUCGAAGGCUUUUGAUAGAUUCUCGAGGCUAAUCUUUAUCGAUAUGAUAUCGAUAAUAUGUUGACAGUUAUGUUGAGUGUCUCAACUGCUUCAAUGUCAAGACAUUAUAUCAAUAGAAUAUCGAUACUUUGACAAUUUUUCUCACUGCUCGAAAUCAUGACACGUCUUCUCGAUGGAAUAUCGAUGGGAUAUUGAUAUGUUGUCGAUUAUAUUAAAUUUCUUAAUUUUUAGUUUUUUAUAUUUUUUGAGUAUUGUUCCCUAACAAACCUUUUGUUGUUUCAAAUUGCAAGAUUAAUUGUAUUUGUUGUUAUUAUCGUACGAUGGUGUUUUGUUGAUAUUUUAUUAAUGUAAAGGCCAAUGUUUUGUGAUUCUUUCA